rnacentral:rRNA from 1 species
GACGAACGCUGGCGGCGUGCUUAACACAUGCAAGUCGAACGGAGCGAAAGAAAGCUUGCUUUUAUAAGCUUAGUGGCAAACGGGUGAGUAACACGUAGGCAACCUGCCGACAGGAUGGGGACAACAUUCCGAAAGGAAUGCUAAUACCGAAUGAAGUGCAGGGGAGGCAUCUCCCCUGCAUGAAAGAUGGCCUCUAUAUAUAAGCUAUCACCUGUCGAUGGGCCUGCGUCUGAUUAGCUGGUAGGUGAGGUAACGGCUCACCUAGGCGACGAUCAGUAGCCGGUCUGAGAGGAUGAACGGCCACAUUGGGACUGAGACACGGCCCAGACUCCUACGGGAGGCAGCAGUGGGGAAUCUUCCGCAAUGGGCGCAAGCCUGACGGAGCAACGCCGCGUGAGUGAAGAAGGUCUUCGGAUCGUAAAGCUCUGUUGAUGGGGACGAACGUACGGAGUGCGAAUAGUGCUCNGUAANGA